UACGUAGGGUCCGAGCGUUGUCCGGAAUUACUGGGCGUAAAGAGCUCGUAGGUGGUUUGUCGCGUUGUUCGUGAAAACUCACAGCUUAACUGUGGGCGUGCGGGCGAUACGGGCAGACUUGAGUACUGCAGGGGGAGACUGGAAUUCCUGGUGUAGCGGUGGAAUGCGCAGAUAUCAGGAGGAACACCGGUGGCGAAGGCGGGUCUCUGGGCAGUAACUGACGCUGGAGGAGCGAAAAGCGUGGGGAGCGAACAGG
rnacentral:rRNA from 1 species